CGACAUCGAUAAGAAGCGAUCGGCAAAUUUCAGUGCUAAUGACUGCUUGUUGCUGGCUCAUAUUAUGAAUGAGCCGGCUUAAGAAGGGUCUAUUUUGACUCGCUAUGCUUACCUGAAAAUCAGAUUCAACCCAUCAAUUACUUCUGCACCAAAGAAGUUGUUGUGGGACGAAAUAAGUGCAACGUUUAAUCUGAGGGCAGAGUACCCUAGAGAGUGUUUUAAUCCUACAAACAAAUGGGAAAACCUUAUUCAAACGCAUAGGUCAAAGUAUCAGGACCAUCUGUUUGCGCAAAACAAAACAGGUGGUGGAGCUGUCACCACUGUGCUAGGGCCAAUUACAGAGGCAAUUAUGGACGUGGUUGGUAGAAGUUCUUCCAACACUGUCGGAAUAGUUGAAACAACAUUUGACAGCGGGUUUCUACAGCUUGAUGCAUUUGAUGCAUUUGGCGAU